UCCACCCCUCACUCCAGCUCUCCUGGCACAUGGUUUGUGGGGCUCCUGCUGCUGCUACCUCCCAUGAUACUGGCCCGGCCCGGUCUCUGGUGGCGCUGCCGGGCAUGAGGGAGUCAGCAGCGGGGAUUGUGACCUAGAUUUAGGAUCACAGCAAAAAAAGGUUGGGAGCCAGAUAUAGAGGUUUCUGCACCAUGAAGAAAAUAAUUCAAGAUUUUUGUCAAAUCCGAUCUGGGCAGCAAAGCAGCAAAGCUCUGCCACAAGACGGUAUCCUCUUUGUCAACACAAACCCAGGGCAGAGUCCUGCAAACAAUUCACUUUAGGCAUGCUUUGAAAUAUGCAUGCAGUCCAGCUGUGUGACUCAUUUUCAACCAGAGCUAGGUUUUAGCUGGACUAUUUGGAUAAUUCACUUCGUCCCUAUGUUAUCACUCAGGUGAGCUGCUGCAUGAUGUUUAAUGCAAAAAAGAGACUCAGCUAC